UUGGCCGAUAAAAUUAAACAAUAUAUAUUAGAGAAAAUUACAUAUUUAUUUACUAAUUAGUUACAUGUUUAUUGACAAAAUAAUUAAUCAUAACUGACAUUUAUUACAAUAUUAACAUCUCUCUUAUUGAAACAUAAACAUUUUCUUGGACAUAAUAUUUUUUUGUAAAAUUUUACAUCAAGUACACACUUCUCUCGUACUUUUCUCAUUAAAUAAACCAAAAGUAAACCAAGCAACCCUCCUAGAUUUUUAGGGAUAUCCAAAUAUGAUCACAUUCCACUUACAUUUUGUAUCCUUAGAAUAUUUCUCAAUUCAUGUUUGAUGGGUUUUUCAAUCUUAUGACUGAACUAAAUCGAAGAUUUUUUGAAAUUUAUAUGUUGAUCUGAUACCGCUUCGUAUUCUUUUAAAAUCCUGAAUAUUUUUUUGGGACUCCUCAUUUUGUGAUUUAUAAAAGAAGAGACUAUCAUCUGUAAAGAAUAGAUGAGAAAUUGAGGGGCAUGCCAUUGCAACUUUUAUGCCUGUCCCAUCUCGUACUCUAUUUCCUCCUCUGAGUCUCUUCUCUGCGUUUCCCCUUUGCUCGAUCUCGAGCUCUGUCGUCUCCACUCACCCGCAAUUGAACACUCUCUCUCCUUGAAUCGUGAUAAACCUGACUAAACUCACAAAGUCACAAGAAGAGCUUGACUCAGGGAAUUACUUCGGAGUUACUUCAGGUAUGGCUGAGCAUAAAGAUUCGUAUGGUGCACCGCUUUGUCCUUGCAGGUGAUCUUUGGAUUUUUUUUGAAGAUUGAAGAUGAAGUUCCUUGACUUAGCAAUCUUAGGAAUUGUUUUGGUUUAUGUGUAUUUUUGGAUGAUAUGUGAAAUAAUGUAUGUUUUAUAAAUUUAAUGAAAUAUAAUUUCUUAUUUAUAGAUCAAAUUGUCAUGUAUAAAUGAUAAAUGCCAAUUAUGAUUGGUUAUUUUGUCUUUAAGCAUGUAACUAAUUGGUAAAUAAAUACGUAAUUUCUCUAA